rnacentral:rRNA from 1 species
CCUACGGGUGGCUGCAGUGGGGAAUAUUGGACAAUGGGCGAAAGCCUGAUCCAGCCAUGCCGCGUGUGUGAAGAAGGCCUUCGGGUUGUAAAGCACUUUCAGUGGGGAAGAAAGCCUUGGGGCUAAUACCCUCGAGGAAGGACAUCACCCACAGAAGAAGCACCGGCUAACUCCGUGCCAGCAGCCGCGGUAAUACGGAGGGUGCGAGCGUUAAUCGGAAUUACUGGGCGUAAAGCGCGCGUAGGCGGUCUGAUAAGCCGGUUGUGAAAGCCCCGGGCUCAACCUGGGAACGGCAUCCGGAACUGUCAGGCUAGAGGGCAGGAGAGGAAGGUAGAAUUCCCGGUGUAGCGGUGAAAUGCGUAGAGAUCGGGAGGAAUACCAGUGGCGAAGGCGGCCUUCUGGACUGACACUGACGCUGAGGUGCGAAAGCGUGGGUAGCAAACAGGAUUAGAUACCCUAGUAGUC